UAAUCCGAGAAUUUCACCUCCAACAGCUCAAUACGAAUACCCCCAAAUGCUCCUUUUGAAAAUUGGGCCGAGCCAAAAGCCACGCCAAUCUCGUCCCCGUUUCACAUUGUCCCAUGCUAUUAUAUUCAUAACCAUGCUUGUUUUAAACACUCUAAUUUCCUCAAAAUAAUCAGUGCGGGUUUAUGCUACGGCACAGUUAAGUGACGAAAACCGCCCACACUAAUGCUCGAAUGUCCCCUUUGGAAAGGAAACACCCGAAGCAGAAAUACGACUACGAACGUUUUAACCGCAACAACUUUAAAAUACGCUAUUGGAGCUGGAAUUACCGC
rnacentral:misc_RNA from 1 species